UACGUAGGGCGCAAGCGUUAUCCGGAAUUAUUGGGCGUAAAGAGCUCGUAGGCGGUCUGUCGCGUCUGCUGUGAAAACUCGGGGCUUAACCCCGGGCCUGCAGUGGGUACGGGCAGACUAGAGUGUGCAAGGGGUGAAUGGAACUCAUGGAGUAGGGGUGAAAUCCGUUGAUAUCAUGGGGAACACCAAAAGCGAAGGCAAUUCACUGGUGCAUUACUGACACUGAAACACGAAAGCGUGGGUAGCGAACUGG
rnacentral:rRNA from 1 species